CACUGUGAAGCUAACUUUAGCAUUAACCUUUUAAGUUAAAGAUAGGAUACCACUACAUCCCAUAGUGA
rnacentral:tRNA from 1 species